GUUAUCUGUUCUGUUCCAUUGACAUAUGCCUCUAUCAUUCUGCCAGUAUCACACUGUCUUGAUGACUACUAUAGCUUUAUGUCUUAAAAUGAGAUAAAAUGAUUCCUCUCUAUUUUUCUUCUUAAAAAUAGUUCUAGCUAUUCUAGUUACAAUGCCUUUCCAAAGAACUCUGAGAAUAAGCAGAUUUGAAUCUCACAUCUUUCUUUCUACAGGCACAGAACUGGUGCAAUGGGACCUGAGACAAUUCCUCUGCCUUUACUCUAGCAGCUGCACAACCCUCAAAGCUGGAGAUGAGUCAGAAGCACCCCCAAGUCCUGUCCUGUCUACCCACGUGCCCAUAUCCCUGCCUUUCUCCAGCUUGCUGGGCAACAUCUGAAACUGAGCUCACACAGGCCAGGAACAGCAAGCAAACAAACAUAUUCUCAUCAGCCUGACAAGCUCUGAGCCCUCUCACCUGGACUUCAGGGACCCCCACAAAAAUACCUCCCCCUUCACCCCACCGGAGGCUGAGAAUUUCCCUCAUGGGCAAUGAAGGCCAGGCCCAGCGCGACUCUGUGUUCAGUCAUCCUGGAAGCUCUUCAAAUUACCCACAGUAAUUAGCAUCAAGACCCCGAAAAGAGGCACCUUGGGAAAACCCACAGGCCUUGGCACAGCCAGGUAAAGCGCUCAGGCUGCCCGUGUUCUAGCAGCAGGUUUUCAGAGCUACAGGGGCUCCUCUUCCUCUCUUCAGAUAUUCCUCUGCAGCAUUGCUAAAGCGAGCGCACGUGUGCAUCACCCCAACACACUCCCCUGCAUCUCUCUUCAAGGGCUAGGACCAGAGGAGAAGGUGAGGAGGCCUCCAGGAUGGGACUGCCCCAGAUCAAUGGAUAUUUGAAACCCAACACACAUGGCCCAGGGCCCACACUGCACGUGUUAAUUACCACACAUGUGCCCAUAAAGGAGUCAGUUAAACACAAGGGGCCCAAAGAACAGAGCAAGGAAAGGACAUUCCAAGGGAUUAAAUAAAUAGUCUGAAGUUCUGAC